CAUUCUUUGGGCUACCUCCAGUUGCCACCCCUAACGCAAUUCCUUCUCUUGCUGAGCAGGGGACUCAAUAGGAAGUUGGCAUGCUGAACAUCUCUAAAGCAGCAGGUGGAGCAACCACUGCAACACAAGGGCGAAGAGCGGAGUGAAUGGCCCCAUCCCCCCGAGGGAGGAGGUGUAGUAGGAAGGAGCGGCCCGCCCGCGCCCUUCGGGAAACAAGCGCUCGGGGAAGGCGAGCGGUUGGAGGGUCUUACUUGGCCAGGAGGAGGAGAUGAUGAGCACUCUGUGGAAGGCAGAGGCAGGUGGUUGCAGAAGUGAGGUGAAACGAACAGGAGGCUGAGUUGGAUGCAGCAGGAGUUGGAGAGGUUUAGACUGUGACAAGCAGAUGUUGCUGUCAGAUGCAGUUUACUGAAGUGUUAUCAGGCAUACCUAGCCCCCAUAUCUGUGGACAUUAUGAUUCCACAAGGAGUGGAACUGGAUGUUAUAUGACCUGUAUCGCAUGAGAUCCACCUAUGGUAGGCACCCUCUGCAGCAGCACCAGGAUGAGUGUGACUGAAAUGCGUUUGUGCAACAACAAUCCAGAAGACACAGUAAUAUGCCUGUGGAUAAACAUUUUUGUUGUCCUUCAAGCAAAGCAGCCUUCAGCUGGGGAGUGACAAGUGUUUCAAAUUUGGUGCAGUCAAGUGUCACUGCCACCGUCUGAUGAUGUCAUCAUUUUUCUGGCCACUCGCAGCAGCUGCAGUGCAGUUAACAUUGCCACCGCCAUCUGAUGACAUCAUCGUUUCUCUGGCCACUCCGUAGCAGCUGCGGCGUGGCAGGAGAGCCCCCAAGGGGGAGAAUUCGUUGAUUUACCCUACCUCAGCCACAACUGGUGCAUUGGCCAGGAACUGCAGGAGACUGACAAGCCAAAUGGACCCCAUUGAAGUUGAAGCACCCACAGACUGUCAACAAAGACAAAGCAUGAUGCUGGAGAUCCUGCAAUGUCAGCAGGCUCAAGUGGAGGAGUUAAGCUGCAUGCAGGGAUAAGAGGUCAAAGCAAGAAUCCAGCUAUUCAACCAACAGCAAGGACCUCUGCGAACAACUCAAGUCAUGACAGGUAAACGGAUCCCAGGAGGGGAAGAGACCCAGAUCUCAAAUAUGUCCACACAAGAUGACAGUGAGACAUUCUUAGAAGCUUUUGAGCAUAUGGCUACUGCUGCUAAAUGGGACCCAGCUUCCUGGGCCAUUCAGAUCAGACCCCUACUGAUAGCACCAGCCCAGGCUGCAUAUAGAGCCAUUACCAGAUCUGAGGCCAAAGAUUACAACAAAGUGAAAGUGGCAAUACUGUACCACUUGAAAUAAUCCCCGGAGUCUUACCGACAAAAAUUUCAAGCUAGAAAGAAGGGAGAAGAGCUCAGGCCCUGGUUACUCAUGCAGAAGCUAAGGGAUCUAGUGGAACGCUGGCUCCAGCCAGAAGAAAAUUUCCUAUGGGAAGUAAUUGAUAUGAUAAUCCUGGAGCAAAUUCUAGCAAACCUAGGAGGAAACACCCAACAAUGGGUCAAGAGGCAUGAGCUGAGAACAGUGAAAGAUGCCUUAAAACAUGGGGCUUCAUAUCUGUAUGAGUGGAGAAAGCUCAAGCUGGCAGUAAUGGGGUGACUAAGGAGCUAGCAGUAGGCUUGGCAGAGACCCUGCCUUGUCCAGUGCUCCUUGGAGUAGACUGGCCCCAUCUGUGGGAGGUGGUAACCCAAGCAAUGAGGGGCCCCAAAGGGGAGGAACCUUUAUCGCGAACAGGUGAAGUCUAUUUUGGUGAAGAUUCGAACAGGAGAUUGAUGAAUUAGACUUAGACCUGAUUCUCAAGGUGCACAAGUUCAAGAGGAACAGAACCGAGAGCCUGGACAAGGGAGAAGAGAUUGACAUCAUAUAUCUGGACUUUAAAAAAGCCUUUGAUCUGGUGUCCCAUGAUCUCCUCAUGAAAAAACUGGCCACCUGUGGCCUCGGCUAUACCACAGGCCACUGGCUGGGAAAUUUGCUCCAAGGUUGGACCCAGAGAGUACUAGUCAAUGGAAGCAAAUCACUGUGGUGCUCCAUGACCAGUGAUGUCCCCCAAGGCUCUUUCCUUGGACCGGUUCUGUUUAAC